AUGGAAGCUGUGUUCAGGCCGGUCCACGCUGGGUGACCCAUGUGACCUGCUGCUUAGCAAUUCCUUGUCACCAUCUUCCCUUCUCAGCCUCUUUUUUCAUGCUAACAGGCAUAAAUGAAAUGAUAAAAGUUUGAGCUCUUCUCGUGGAAUUCUCGUGAUACAGAUAUGUGCUACAUGUUCAUCAUCUCGUUGGUCUUCACCAUGAUAACUGUGGAGUAAGAAUUAUAAGCAGGUCACAGAUUAGGGACUUGAGAUUGACAGUUUGGCUUCCCUGUUCUGGGUGGCAAAGCCUGUGGAGUACUCACCUACCUGCUGCAUGAAGGCAGCAUGGAGGGACUGUGGUGGAUUAUCUGCAAAGAUGGCCAAAAUUCUCUCAUCCCUGCAGGCACAUACAAGAAGAACUGAAGCUCAGCUCUUCACCCUACAGAAAGCCUGAAUUUUGUAAAUGUUCUGCUUAGAAUGAGGAAGAAAGAUGAAGAAUGAGGAGGAAGAAGGAAGGAACGAGAGAGAGGUAAAGCCAACAAGCAGAACAGACCUACAUUUGCAGCAUCUCCAAGUUUCUGCAACAGCAUUAUGUUGUUGUUAUGUUUUGUUUUAAUAAAAGCACAUACCAUUU
rnacentral:lncRNA from 1 species